rnacentral:other from 1 species
CAUUGAAUGGACGCAAUAGUAACUAGGAUGGUUGCUACUAAGGAAAGACAAUGGACACCUCUAGGAUUGAGGUAAAUGGACUGCACAUCAGGAUGAUGUAAAGGACACCGCUCAAGGAACAAGCGAAGAGAGUUAACUAAGGAUUGUUAACGGAUCAGGAUAGAUCAUGGACACCGCUAGGAUGGCGACGAAAGGAAUAAGCUGACGGAUUCAGCAUACUAUCAAGGAUUUGAUGCAUGGAGCACCAUUAGUAGCCGGACUGCUGCGAGUAAAGUUAUAGCCCCGCUAGAUGAAAAUCUAGUGGGGCUUUUCUUGUUU